UGAUCCUCCUGCUUCAGCCCCCCAAGUAGCUGAGACUACAGGACAUGAGUGAGUCGCCAGACAUGAAGGCUUUGCCUGUGAAUGUGCUGCCUCUCUCUGGGAUGGGCAGAGCUGAAGACCAACAGUAAUUGCUCCAGCUGGUAUCUGCAUCUGGUGGAUUUUGGAAGCUUACUCUCCCAUGUCCUCAGCACUAUUCUGCUAUUCCUGGGUAUGGCAUCUCCAUACCAAUCUGAAAACAUAAGAGAGCUCGAAGAAAAGCAUAGACUCAGAUGCAAUAAUCACUUGGGUUCUCUGAGUGAACAGCCUUGGGUAGCCACCAUCCAGAGCAGUGGAGACAUCACCAGUCCCAGAAGUCCCUGAUGUCCCUUCCAGUCACGACUCUGUCCCCUCGCCUAGGACAUACAUGUAGAUCAACAUGGAAGGAGUAGCCCUUGACCAUCAGUGUAUGACUCCAUUGCAUAGUGCUUGCUGCAGAAUUGCCUUGCCUGUCAGAUGACACAGCCAGUGCUGAGAUAGUGGCUGGCUGUGUGGAGUGGGCACAGCGCUUGCUCUCAUGAGCCGGUCCCUGGAUCUACAUCAAGAUGGUGCCUGGAUCUGUGGAUGGACUCUGGUCCUACCUUGGCCCCUGCUGCACUGAAGCUCCUGGCAUUUCCAGGGAGCCUUGCCCCUGUGUGUUAUUGGCCUGUUUUUCUGAUGUCUGCAGCCUGACAAACAUGUCACCUGGUCUUUCUCAGCUGGGUGGCUCCUCUUUGUUGAUUCAAUGCCUCCUGGUCUUGCACCCACUCCCCGACUCAGAUACUCUGCUUGGGCUCUUCCAGGAGAUCAGUGUGCUCUGCCAGGUCCCAGGGCAGACCUGCUGGCUCUCAGCUUGGCACUGAGGAAUGCUCUGGAGUAAACACUAGCCCUCCCCACCUGCUACAUGCUCAGCCCUCUCCCCUCUGCCGUGUUGCCUCAUGUCUCAGUCAUUUCUGAUUCCUCGUUACCUAGCAGAAUGUCUGGCACUUUUGCUCAGUAAGAUGCUUUUGAAAUUGAACUGGAUUGUGAAUUCCUUUCAGUGAGUGGUCCAUGCUUUAUUUGGCAAAUAGAUGCCAAUGACUACUAUUUUCUCGAAAUUUUAUAAAGUUAAUUAUUGAUACACCCAAAGCAGAGGGAUCUUCUGAUCCCCAAAGCCUGGCUUUCAGUGUUGUUUUAACCCUUCUAAAAUCUCAAGUUUCUCUAAUAAAAACCACGAUAGUCUGAAAUGCUGGAAUUUGGAAUUUAUGCCUUCCUAGAGUGCUGAUACCGAAAUUUUAAGGAAUGUAGGGAAAAAAAGGAAAUAAAA
rnacentral:lncRNA from 1 species